GCGAAUUUUUCACAAUGGGCGCAAGCCUGAUGAAGCCACGCCGUGUGUGGGAUGAAGGCUCUCUGAGUUGUAAACCACUGUCAGGUGAGGGGAAACGCGUAGUGUUAACAGCAUUACGUUUGACUGCUCGCCAAAGGAAGCCCCGGCAAAACAUGUGCCAGCAGCCGCGGUAAUACAUGUGGGGCAAGCGUUGUUCGGAAUUACUGGGCAUAAAGGGUGCGUAGGUGGCUUGUUAAGUCAGGGGUGAAAUCCCACGGCCCAACCGUGGAACUGCCUUUGAUACUGGCGAGCUUGAGUGCGUGAGGGGUGAUCGGAACGAGUAGUGUAGCGGUGAAAUGCGUAGAUAUUACUCGGAAGGCCAACGGCGAAGGCAGAUCACUGGUACGCAACUGACACUGAGGCACGAAAGCGUGGGGGAGCAAACAGGAUUAGAUACCCCCGGUAGUCCACGCCGUAAACGAUGAACACUAGGUGUGGGUGGUGUGAAAACUAUCUGUGCCGAAGCCAACGCGUUAAGUGUUCCGCCUGGGGAGUACGGUCGCAAGGCUGAAACUCAAAGGAAUUG
rnacentral:rRNA from 1 species